AUUGAACGCUGGCGGCAUGCCUUACACAUGCAAGUCGAACGGCAGCACGGGAGCAAUCCUGGUGGCGAGUGGCGAACGGGUGAGUAAUACAUCGGAACGUGCCCAGUCGUGGGGGAUAACGUAGCGAAAGCUACGCUAAUACCGCAUACGAUCUGUGGAUGAAAGCGGGGGGACCGUAAGGCCUCGCGCGAUUGGAGCGG
rnacentral:rRNA from 1 species